GUAAUUAUUAUGUAUAAUUCAGACGCUGAUUGAAGAUUUAAAAAAGGUUAUAGUUUUGUCCAACCGGCGAGCAAGCCCGCCGAGGAAACAAUAGGUACGCAAAAAACAAGGGUGUAAACAAGUAGCUAGGCUACUGAAUGUAAUGAUCCUUCCGCAGGUUCACCUACGGAAA
rnacentral:misc_RNA from 1 species